rnacentral:rRNA from 1 species
UCGUGGAGUGAUCUCUCUGCUUAAUUGCGAUAACGAACGAGAUCUCUGCAGCUAACUACGCGCUGGCCUCGCAUGCAAGUAGGGGUGUGUCUGGGUCUUAGUGCCCAUGCACACCCUGAGAGGCCGGAUGCUUCUUAGCUGGACUGCGCAUGAUUUAAUGCACGGAAGAAGGAGUCAAUAGCA